UUGAUUUUCCCCUUUCUCUCUACAAUUUUAGUCCCAUAGUGUCGCAAUCUUUCUCAGUGUCGUCGAACCCUAAUUCUCUCUCAGAGUCCAGUCCACUGAUGGCUUCGCAAAUGGCGAUCUUCUUCCGCACGCGUUCUAUUCUCUUCUCAAAACUCUCUUCCCUCGUCAAAACCAUAUCCACUUUCCCGUCCUCUCGCAGGAGCCUCAGCUGGCGGAUCCCGCUCCUCUCCCUCCUAACCUCGCCUCCGACAGCCCUUUCUACCACCAAAACUGGCGCAUCUCUUCCUCUCUUUAUUUCUUUCUCCUUUGAAACCCUCUCUUCCUGAGAGAUUGGUUUUUCACAACGACGAGGUACUUUGAUUUCGUGUUUCUGCAUUUUCGUUUCAUGCAAUGCAUUUCAUUCUCUUUGAUGUUCUCGGUGCAUCGAUUGUGUUAUUUGCUUUUGUUCUUUAGUUUAAGGGUUUUAGGGCUGGCUAGGUUCAGAAUUGACGACUCGUUUUUGGGUGAAAAUGGGUGCUUGAUGGUUCAAGCGUUGGUGGAUUCCGAAGGGAGGUUCGUGGAUAUCUCAACUGUGUGGCCAAUUACCAUGAAUCCUGAAACCAUUUAGUAACACUGGCAAGUACUGGUUUGGGUGGUAAGCUUUCUGGAGAUAUUGGAUCACUGUCUGAAUUGGAGAUUUUAAUCGGGCACAUUCCUGUGAUUGAUGAGAAGGGGAUGAUUGGAAUGGUGUCCAUUGGAGAUGUGGUUCAUGUUGUGGUGCGCGAGCACCGUCAAGAGUUUGAGCAUUUGAAUGCUUUCAUACAAGGGGGUUAUUAGAUGUUGAUGAUGGUGAAAAUCUCUGAAGAGCACUGAAGCUAAUUUGGAUUAAGUAAUAAGCCUGAGUGUUUGUAAAUAUGUUUGUGAUUUCAGUUCUAUCAACAUUAACCCCAAUGGUGUAGCAGCAUGUUAAUAAUAACAACUGGAUGCAUUUUGAAUCUGUUUUCAACUCUCGAAAA